rnacentral:rRNA from 1 species
CCCUUAGAUGUUCUGGGCUGCACGCGCGCUACAAUGAUGCAUUCAACGAGCAUAGCUGCCUCGAAAGAAAGCGGCGAAUCUUUUGAAACUGCAUCGUGACGGGGAUAGAUGAUUGUAAUUAUUCAUCUUCAACGAGGAAUUCCUAGUAAGCGCAAGUCAGCAGCUUGCGUUGAUUACGUCCCUGCCCUUUGUACACACCGCCCGUCGCUACUACCGAUUGAAUGGUUUAGUGAGAUUUUUGGACUGGAACUCUCUUGUUCAGCAAUGAACGAGAGGGACUCUGGGAAGCUAUUCUAACUGUAUCAUUUAGAGGAAGUAAAAGUCGUAACA